GUAGUCUGCAACCCGACUACAUGAAGCUGGAAUCGCUAGUAAUCGCGGAUCAGAAUGCCGCGGUGAAUACGUUCCCGGGUCUUGUACACACCGCCCGUCACACCAUGGGAGUCGGAAAUGCCCGAAGUCGGUGACCUAACUGAAAGGAAGGAGCCGCCGAAGGCAGGUCUGGUGACUGGGGUGAAGUCGUAACAAGGUACC
rnacentral:rRNA from 1 species